rnacentral:rRNA from 1 species
CAGUAGCCGCGGGAAAACGAAGGGGGCUAGCGUUGCUCGGAAUGACUGGGCGUAAAGGGCGCGUAGGCGGAUUGUUUAGUUAGGCGUGAAAUUCCUGGGCUUAACCUGGGGACUGCGCUUAAUACAGGCAGUCUAGAGUGAGGAAGAGGGUUGUGGAAUUCCCAGUGUAGAGGUGAAAUUCGUAGAUAUUGGGAAGAACACCGGUGGCGAAGGCGGCCAUCCGGGACAACACUGACGCUGAGGCACGAAAGCGUGGGGAGCAAACAGGAUUAGAUACCCGAGUAGUCCCUGUCUCUUAUCA